rnacentral:tRNA from 1 species
GCCUAAUAUGGAUAAGGCACUGGCCUGCAAAGCCAGGGAUUAUGGGUUCAUGCUCCAU